UACAGAGGUCUCAAGCGUUGUUCGGAUUCAUUGGGCGUAAAGGGUGCGUAGGUGGCAUGGUAAGUCGGAUGUGAAAUCCCGGGGCUCAACCCCGGAACUGCAUUCGAUACUGCUGAGCUAGAGUACUGGAGAGGAGAUUGGAAUUUACGGUGUAGCAGUGAAAUGCGUAGAUAUUGGGAGGAACACCAGUGGCGAAGGCGGCUACCUGGACCGGUUCUGACGCUGAGGCGCGAAAGCGUGGGUAGCAAACAGG
rnacentral:rRNA from 1 species